rnacentral:rRNA from 1 species
AGAGUUUGAUCCUGGCUCAGAAUGAACGCUGGCGGCGUGCUUAACACAUGCAAGUCGAGCGAGAAAGCUCCUUCGGGAGCGAGUAAAGCGGCGGACGGGUGAGUAACGCGUAAGAAUCUGCCCUUCAGUGAAGAAUACCCUCGAGAAAUCGGGGCUAAUGCUGCAUACGUCCCUUCGGGGAGAAAGAUGGCCUCUUUGCUGUCGCUGAGGGAUGAGCUUGCGUACUAUUAGCUAGUUGGUGGGGUAAUAGCCUACCAAGGCGAUGAUGGGUAGCCGGCCUGAGAGGGUGAUCGGCCACAUUGGAACUGAGAUACGGUCCAGACUCCUACGGGAGGCAGCAGUGAGGAAUAUUGCGCAAUGGGCGAAAGCCUGACGCAGCGACACCGCGUGAAGGAUGAAGGUUUUAGGAUCGUAAACUUCUGUUAAGUGGGAAGAAAGAUUCAUAAGUAAUAUUUAUGAAAGAUGACGGUACCACUAGAGAAAGCACCGGCUAACUUCGUGCCAGCAGCCGCGGUAAUACGAGGGGUGCAAGCGUUAUUCGGAAUUAUUGGGCGUAAAGGGUGCGUAGGCGGCAUUUCAAGUCCACUGUUAAAUUUCCCAGCCUAACUGGGAGUCGGCGGUAGAUACUGAUUUGCUAGAGGAUGGAAGAGAGAAGUGGAAUUCUUGGAGUAGCGGUAAAAUGCGUAGAUCUCAAGAGGAACACCGAUGGCGAAGGCAGCUUCUUGGUCCAUUCCUGACGCUAAGGCACGAAAGCGUGGGGAGCAAACAGGAUUAGAUACCCUGGUAGUCCACGCUGUAAACGAUGAUCACUGGAUGUUGGAACUGCUUGCAGUUUCAGUAUCGAAGCUAACGCGUUAAGUGGUCCGCCUGGGGAGUACGAUCGCAAGAUUAAAACUCAAAGGAAUUGACGGGGGUCCGCACAAGCGGUGGAACAUGUGGUUUAAUUCGACACUACGCGAGGAACCUUACCUAGGUUUGACAUGUGUAUGACCGCUGUAGAAACACAGCUUUUCAAAGUUUACUUUGAACAUAUUCACAGGUGCUGCAUGGCUGUCGUCAGCUCGUGCCGUGAGGCGUUUGGUUAAGUCCUAUAACGAGCGCAACCCCUGCCGCCAGUUGCUAUCCAGUGAUGGAGCACUCUGGUGGGACUGCCUGGGUAACCAGGAGGAAGGUGGGGAUGACGUCAAGUCAGCAUGGUCCUUAUGCCUAGGGCUACACACGUGUUACAAUGGCGAAUACAGAGGGUCGCAAUACCGUAAGGUGGAGCUAAUCCCAGAAAGUUCGUCUAAGUUCGGAUUGAGGUCUGCAACUCGACCUCAUGAAGUUGAAAUCGCUAGUAAUCGCGUAUCAGCAACGACGCGGUGAAUACGUUCUCGGACCUUGUACACACCGCCCGUCACACCACGAAAGCUGUUUGUACCCGAAAUCGUCUUAGCUAACCACUUUGUGGAUGCGGGCGCUGAAGGUAUGGGGAGUGAUUGGGGUGAAGUCGUAACAAGGUAACCA